rnacentral:lncRNA from 1 species
UACUCUUUAACCUUUAAUCUGUUAAUGUGGUUUCCUAGUGGUAGCGUUUCUAACAGCAGUAUUUCAGAAGGGCUUUGCUGCCUUUCUCCAAGAAGCAGCUAAAAUUUUCUGCUUUUGAAGAAAGGGGAAACUUGGGGUGGAGAGGCUGGCAAUGCUGUCCGUGCUGCCUGUGUUUAGGACUGCUGUUGCGCUCUUUGCUCUGUGCCAUGCAAAAGAGAUGCUUAUGAAUAACACUGGAGCCUGGGAAACUCACCUGUCAUCGAGGAGGUGUGGAGGCUGUUAAAGGAAAUAUCCCUCAUGAUGUCCCAGUGAGCCAGCUGUAGCGCUGAAUCACUGGCAGCAUUUCCCAAAAGGCAAAGGGACCAAAAGAAGAGUAAAUCAGAAGAGGAAUCGGCCACCUCUGUCUAGUUGGAUGGUCCACUCUGAGAUCCAGAGUUUACAUCCCACAUUUGUCUAUAUCGUAUUGAAUGAUUCGAAUGUUCACUUCAGCUCCAGUUGCAUUUUAGUUGAGGUUGAUCCUGCAAGAUGAUUUUUGGCAAAAUGAAGUAAGUGACUCCAAGCAAAAUUAGAUGUUAUGUAAAUUAAAAGCCAGGUUUUAAAGAACAGAGGCCUUCAAAAGCUGUCAUAUAGUACCCACCUUUUGACAUUUAGGUUACCAGGCCAGAGGUGGCAUAGAUUAUUAGUAAAAGAAAGCUGUGAUUACAAUGGAGACCAUUUGACAAUAAGAAAUAGCAAUAAUGAUGCUUUGAUUGAAGACUUUCCUCCCCAGGGCUCACAUAUGCAAUAAUUUCCUUUCACAAUAUACUGAGAAAGUAGGGAGGAAAGGGUAUUAUUAUAUCCGCUUUAUAGAAGGCGAAACUGAGGCAAAGAGAAAUAAUUUGAGUCUGAGGCAGUGACACAUGGGCAGGGACAGAAGUAGAAAACAGGCUUCUAGUUUCCUGAUCUCAGGGCCCCUGGUUAUAAACAGCUUGCCUUGUGUUAUCUUGCUCAACGAAGCUGUACCGCGAAGCCCCCUAACAUGGCAGGAGUUGGCUCUCCUCAUAAGCUUUCCAAGCAGAGAAGCCACACUAGGCUUGAACUUUCAGGUCCCCCUAAAGGUGAGCGAACAGGUGGAUGAUGGUCACAUAACUUCACUGUUGGUUGGAGAACGUCAAUUUCCUUGACGGUCUGAUUUCACUGUUUCUAACUUCAUUUGAGCAGGAAAGAAAGAAAAUUGGAAUUUCAGUGAGUUCCAUUUUCUUGGCUUAGAAGCCACAAGCCCCAGUUAAGUGCCGCCCUGAAUAAGUGGCUUCUCUGUGUUCAGGGAGAGACCACCCCCUGACCCAGAGAUGAGGUUUCGCAACAUGCAGAUAGAGGUUUUCCGAAGUCCUCAGCUGGAACAGCUAAAUACGACUGAGACAACACCAUCCCAUAGACAAAGGUCAGAACUAUUUUAAUCUCUGAGUGAGGCUAUUACUCUGGGACAAGGCCCUUCUUGUCUGAUUUCCUGCUAUUUUCAGUGAUUCACAAGCCUGAAUCUCUUUCAUCUGGGAGUGCAGAGCCACGGCCCCCUUUCAGAUUUGUUUGUGAGUUAAAAUAGUUCCCAUCCUCAAUCUUCCUGGAGUGUCUUCUUGCAGACAUAGAAUUCCUCAGGCUGUGAGCCUAGAGGAGUCCGUGGGAGGGAGAGUCGGGCUGACUUGGAAUGCAAACCCUGGGAGGAAGCUGGAGUGUAGCAGGAAGUGGGGUUGCUGCUGGCUUGGAUGGUCCCACGAAGACUCUGAGCCAAUAGGUCAGUUAGGAGGCUGACUUCUCCGAGAGAUGACAGUGCUCUGGAAGGCUUGCUCCCCACAGCCAUACAGAGGCUUGCCCUGUACUGUCUGCUGAAGUCUAUGCAUGGUGCCAGAGCUUCGGUCAAAGUCCCGUCGCUCUAGAAUCGAAUGGAGUUAGGAUGAAAGAUGCUCCCUUAGUUUCUUCAUGACACAGCCCUCGAGUUCCUUAAUUACUGGUCCAUUUGGAUUGAUUGCCCUCAUAUUUAUAGGUUAUUUCUCCAAACUGAAUGCUGUAUUAGAAAAGCCUGCUUACCCAGUUUUCACAUAUCCCGUGGUUUUGAAUUUGCUAGUUCUCUCCUUUUUCUUAUAACUUCUUCUACUGUGGAAAUGUCUCAAAUCACUGUUUCUUAAUUGUUUAAUACCUCAAUUUGGUGUGGACAGAGUAGAGUUUGAGAAAUUUAGCCAAAGCUAGCCUUCAGGGAAUCUGCCUAGAGUAAUAAUAAAGAUGAGUUACCAUUUAUUGACUCUAUACUCCUUGCCAGCCACUGUGUAAAUGCUUCUCAUAAAUUGUCUAAUUUAAUCUACGUAAGAGUCCUGUGAGAUCAUUUUACAGACUACAAAACAAGGUUUAGGGAAGUUAGGUAAUUUUCCCUAAGUCACACAAUCAGUUUGUGGAUAAAACUGAUAUUCCAGCUCAGAUCUUUAUGCUGCUAUACACAAUAGAGCAAUUUUGCUGAAACGUUGAAAAUAAAUGUUGGACCGUCCCCAGUGUCAUAAUCUUUGUG